rnacentral:misc_RNA from 1 species
GUAGGUGAACCUGCGGAGGGAUCAUUCACAUGAUAUACUUUAAUAAACAAACUGUGAACUUUAUAUAAUACUAUUCGUGUUUGUGUGAACUUUACUGUUCAUAUCAAACAUUGUCAUUCGAUUGAACAUAAGAUAGUUGGCUUGAAAUAUUUUAAAUAUUUCUUUCUCAGCUUUGAUUUGAUAUAACUAAACAUUUUAUCACUUCAACCAUUAAAACAUAGAAACAACUCUAUGCCCUGGAUAUCUUGGU